ACUUGUGAAACAGUGUCACAAUGUGCUCCUGGGACACCCGGCAGAUGAUUUUUGGAGCUGGAACCGAACUCUUCGUGGAGCCCCAAAGUCAGCCUCUUACCGAACCAUCCGUUUUCAUCAUGAAAAAUGGGACGAGUGUUGCUUGUCUGGUGAAAGAUUUCUACCCCAAGAAUGUAGCUAUAAGCCUCCAGUCGUCCAAGAGAAUAGUAGAAUUUGACCCCGCUAUCGUAGUCUCUCCCAGUGGGAAGUACAGUGCUGUCAAGCUUGGUCAAUACGAAGAUUCUAAUUCAGUGACAUGUUCAGUUCAACACAACAAUAAAAUCUUGUACUCCACUGACUUUGAACCGAACACAACUUCUUCAGAUGAUCUAAAACAAAUGGAACCUGAAGACAUACAGCAGACUUCAAAGAGCUGCCAUGACCCCAAAGUGCAUCCCGGGAAGGUGAACAUGAUGUCCCUCACAGUACUAGGACUGCGAAUGCUAUUUGCCAAGAGUGUUGCCAUCAAUUUUCUCUUGACUGUCAAGUUAGUUUUCUUUGAAGGCUGACCAGCAUGAGAAAGCUACACUCCAUGAAGGAAACUAAAAGCCUACCCAGAUACUAUCUCUUAGGCUUUGGACCUCUCAGUGAUUCAAGUUAUUUUCUCAUAUGCUUAAAUGACUGCUAUCCAAACCAGUUUUCCUUUGAAUGCACCACCCCAGCUCAUCCUCCAGCCUGAUGGAAAAACAAAAGUCCUGGGGGGUAGGAGUUUAUGGUCCUAAGUGCUUUAUAUGCUGCUUUAUAAAUAGAUAUAAAGAUACAAAGGGAUGGAGGGCUCGUUUUUUAAUUCCUACAACUAAUACGCUUUGAAAAUGGUGUUUUGUUCCUUUCACUUUCUUUGCCUUCAGAAGUAGAAAGUGGGAGCCAACAGGUCCCCAGCUCCAUUCUCCAAGAGAAAAGCAGACCCUGGGGGAAGAAGAGUAGGCGUCCUUUACCUAAACAUGAAAGGCUCUACUCUACCCAGCACUAGAUUUACCCUAAACUGGCGUCUCAUUCACAAAAGUACUUUCUGCCCUCCCACUACUUUCCAACACUCUUCAUGUAGGCAAUGGGGUUUCUAAAAUCUUAUCUAAAUAUCUUUGAAGCUAUUAGUAGAGAUCAGAGUAAAAUACAGAGGAAAUGUACUUCUUUCUAUUAAUUGAUUUAACAAACAUGAAUUGACUCCAAGUUCCAGACACCAUCCAAGUGUUUUUGGAGAGAGGGAUAGAAAUGAGAUCCCUAGAUUUUCCUGUAAAAACGGCAUUUUUACUAUCUCUUGCCUACCAAUCUGUACGCAGGGAGUUGGAGGUCACCGGACACUGACUCUCACCUGGGUUAGUGUUGAUGGUUUUCUGCCAUUCUUUUCUGACGCUAUCUCUGUUAACAUUUAUUAAAGCACAUUGUGUGUGCCUUGCC